rnacentral:rRNA from 1 species
UACAGAGGUCUCAAGCGUUGUUCGGAUUCAUUGGGCGUAAAGGGUGCGUAGGCGGCGCGGUAAGUCGGGUGUGAAAUCUCGGGAGCUUAACUCCGAAACUGCAUUCGAUACUGCCGUGCUUGAGGACUGGAGAGGAGACUGGAAUUUACGGUGUAGCGGUGAAAUGCGUAGAUAUCGUAAGGAACACCCGUGGCGAAAGCGGCGCGCUGGACCACUACUGACGCUGAGGAACGAAAGCUAGGGGGAGCAAACAGG